rnacentral:misc_RNA from 1 species
AGUUUUGGAAAGUUGAUUUGAUUUCAUGUAUGGAUUAUAGUGAAAUUUGAGCACCUUCUUUUGAGUGUGCAAUUUGACUACCUUCUUUUGAGCAGUGUUGUCAAAAGUGUACAAAGCACUUGCCCAGGUGCAAAAGAAUAGUGAGAUAUGGAUCCAGUGCUUUAGGACCCUUAGGUGAGGCACCCCUAGUAAGGCACUUUCUUUCCUUGUUUAAGCACACGCCUAUUUUGAUGUGCUAGGCACAGGAGGCAUAUACCUAGUUAAAAUUAGUUUCUUCCAUCUUUGUGAAUUAGUUUAAAAGGAUUACAAUAUUCAACAUGCGUAAAAAUCAUUAAAAAACAAUAUUUUAGGCUGCUGGAGUUUGACUUGUCUUUUCUUUGGGUAAAUUGCUAAUUUUUAAUAUAGCAGCACAUGAAUGGUCACAUUUUCUUUGCAUUAGUUAUUGCACUAGUUUUUAGCACAUAAAUUUAUUAACAAUUUUCUGAAAUUUGUGCCUUGCUUCAGUAAGGUGGGCGCUUUUCUGGUGCUUUGCACUUUAGGCUGUGAAGCGACCUAUCAGCCUAACAUGUAGUUUGUGGGCUAGUGACAUGAGGCUUUGUCCUUGUCAUCGAUGUUGUUGAAUUCUUCUUGCUGAGGGCCUGAGGCAUGUCCAUAAACAAUAACUAGCAAUGAUUCUUUUACCCCUCGAUGGGAAGCAAAACAUCAUCUAAACUUGCGUGGCCCAUGAAGUUGUUUUUCAUGUGUAGUGAAUUGCCAGUUUAUGUGCCCCUUUAGCACAAUGAGGCUAUCAUUCACAAGAAGAUGAGUUCUCCAUCCAUUAGAUCAUGUAGGCAUGAUGCUAGAUGAGUGGUGCCAUAUUUUAAGUGAUUAUGUUGUUAAAUAUAUUUUUAGAUAAAAACCUCUUUUAUAUUUUAGUAAAUUGGCACAAUCCCUGAAUUACAUUAUAUUUUAUAAUUUAUAAUUACUUUCUUUUAUUGGAUCUGACACAUACUUUAUUGAUUAUAUGUAUUGCUGUUUCAAUUUGACUGAAACCUUCUUAAAAAAAGGAAAAGAAGGAUAAUAUUGAUUCUUUAGUUUGUGUCCUCUAGUUAUAGUUUCCUAAUACAGUAACUUAAAUAAAAUCCUAAUAUUUUGCCCUAAUUUUUUGUUAUUUUUUAUUUUUUAUAAAUUUGUGUAAACCCAAAUUUUUAUCGCUGAAAUUUUUGAGUUAACAGAUUUUAUUUGAUAUAAUACUGAACAAACAUAAGUCUAAUUUGGCAUAAGAUUUAUCAAAUAAUACAAAUCAAAGAUAUCACUAGGUUUAACAAAUAUACAAUAAGCUUUGAGACUUAAACAUGUGAAAACCUGCAACUGAAUUAAAAGCAAAGCUGAUUGAGCUCCAACUCAAUAGAUUAUCCUAUUUCUAUCAUUUUUUGAUGCUUGCACUGAGGAUAUGAAUAAACUUUUUUCCUGUGACAUGAAUUACUACUAAUUUCAUUUUAUGCUCCCAGACUAUGUUCCAUAAGAGCCAUCCAACAGGGGGGGAAGUGAAUUAUGUAAGACCUAAUGGUUGGAACAGUUGUCCAUUGAUCAACUUUAACUUUGAAAUUUGGAUUCUUGCUUUGUUUCUGUCAAAGUUAUGCUGCUUUUCUCUAAUAUGUUUGAUAUUUGUCAUUGCAGUAGUUCCAUAAAUGGUGAUAACUUUAUUGCAAGGAUGACAAAUUCCUUUUAGAGAUGUGGCUUUAUGGGUUCUUAUAGUGCAACAUGUUUUUGGUGCAUGAAAUCAUAAUAUCUCCUUGAUGACUGAUAGAUUGGAGAUUUAGGUGCACCAAGGCAAAUCUUUAAAUUCCACUUAGGCAUGCAUAGCCAUUUUGGUAGUUAAGAU